rnacentral:tRNA from 1 species
CAAGAUGAAGCAUUGAAGAUGUGUCUCGCUUACACUGAGAAGAUGGCUGUGUUAGCCUGUCUUGA